UCUGCAUCUUAUUUAUUUGGCUUCCUUGACUUUCAUUGGAACAACUUCGAUCCUCAUGUUGACAAAUGCCUGUAACAGACUCUAAAAGCAAUCAAAAGCUGGAAUCAGAACUGGAUAGGAUACUGAAAGCUCUCUUAUACUUGGACUAAUGAGGCAAUUUCACACACCUGACUAAUUAGAAACACCUGUGAAGCCAUUUGUCCGAGACAUUAUUGUAUCCUGUAAUGGGGGGUGGGGUUCUUUGUAUAAAAAAGGUGCUGCAAUUUCAACAAGCCAAAAUAUACACGAAUACUCUUUAACCCUUUCCUUCGCAUAAGCCCCCUGGUAGCCAGGGUGCUGGCGUGCUGAUAUUGCUCAGUUGUGACAUUCAGUGCUCCUGCUACCAAACUAUGAGUGGAAACAACAAACUCAAAAAAUCAACCAAAUCAACAACAGCUGAAUGUAUUCGUCAAUUAAAUUUGGGUAAUUGCUUGAUUGAAUAAAUGAGGGAGUAAUUGCUUUUUUCUCAAACACAAAUCUUUUUUUCUUUACAAAGUUCCAACUAAAGUUGGAAGAAAAAGUAUGAGAUCAUUGAAGCCACCUUGUCACACCAUGCUGAUAAUUUUGCUUUGUCGUUAUGCUUUCUGGUUCAUAUCCCAUGGUUGAUACUUCCUGGAAGGAUUAUAGAUUGUGGCGUCAUUGUCCAGUCCUUCAUACGUUGGUCCUAACUCUCCACUCUCAAUCCAACGGUGGCUGGUGCCACCUGUAUUUUAGUCCCUGAGAGGCACGGCGCACAGAAGCUGACAGCCUACGCGCCGCUGGACCGCCGUCUGCCUCUCCGCCUUCGAGCCGUGAUUUCCCCACGGAGGCGCGUCUCGCGAACACGCGGCUAACCCGCCGAGCGUCUCGCGGCUCCCCGAAUCCAGCGGCCCGCGGCGCGGCGCUAGUAGCUCCGAAGCGCGGAGAUCGCGCCCGCUCAAUGGCUCUGCAGGGCUGGUGAAAUAAUGUCUCUUUGUUUCCAGGCUGAGAUGGAGGGGAGGGGGGGGAGAUCAGUCAGCACUAAUGCUGGGAAUACACUGGGAAAUACAGUGUGUGUGAUGCGGUAGAAACCCAGAGCUGUGGAGCAUGGACCCAGUCAGCAGGAGUCAUGUUAUAAAGAUCAUAUGUAUCACAAGUCUUUUGUUCUUGUCCUGUCAGCACUAAUGUGAUGGUUGAGCUGCCUUUUUUUUCUGCAUGUGUGUGUCCUGUCCUGCAGAGCCGUUAUGGAAUUAAGACACAUACGCCUUUCGACUGGUCCUUCAAGCAUGGACACAUUUUUGCAAGCAGGCUUUGAUCAGCACCAGGGCUCCAAGGUCACAACCUAAAAAUCCACCAAGCUUUCCCUCAACCUCCAUUUCUCCUCGCUACUCCUUAGUAUCUUAGCAACUGACCCUCCUCCCACUUUUUUGGGUUUUGGCCAAACAGAUGACAAACGUUCAUACUGAGCAUAUGAUUGCGGCGCCACUCUCACAGGAAAACAGAAAGAAAAAUCAUCUUUUAAAAAUCAUUAAUAAGAGGAAGCUGUGUGGGCCGUCUAUUGUGCGAUGUCCUUACCUGAAUACUCAUUGAAGAAUGAAAGCUCAGAGCCGCUGAUGUGCAUGAAAGACAUGGCCUUGAUUUCUCCUGACAGCAUUGCUGCCCAGAGGCUCACACAUGGCUCACAGCAUCUUUUCUCUGUUCUGUCAGCAAUCUGCUGCUUUUACACCGACUCCCUUCCCCGUCCUCGCUACUGUCUGCGAGCGCGCGCAGGCGAUCCCCACCGCACACCCGGGUGAGGGAUGGAAACGCAGCGUGAUCGCAUUUUUAUGAACGAACAGAAGAUGUUUACAGCUGAGAGAUGGAGGUUCGCCGACAACACCUGCUCGCGGUUAACUAAUAAAUCGUGUUUUUAUUGUUAAGAACACAGU